rnacentral:rRNA from 1 species
UACGAGGGGGGCUAGCGUUGCUCGGAAUCACUGGGCGUAAAGCGCACGUAGGCGGAUCUUUAAGUCAGGGGUGAAAUCCUGGAGCUCAACUCCAGAACUGCCUUUGAUACUGAAGAUCUUGAGUUCGGGAGAGGUGAGUGGAACUGCGAGUGUAGAGGUGAAAUUCGUAGAUAUUCGCAAGAACACCAGUGGCGAAGGCGGCUCACUGGCCCGAUACUGACGCUGAGGCACGAAAGCGUGGGGAGCAAACAGG